UUCUUCUCAAAAGAGUUUCCAUGAAUCUGUUUCAAGAGUGACACAUAUCAGCUUAACCGCAAGCAAAGAAAAAAGGUAUGCCGAAUAUUGGACAUAUGAAAAAAGUCCAUUAAGUGAAAAAAGGUAAACCUUCAAAAUAUCAGCUAAUCCCAUACAAAUAGAUAAUAAAUGGAACAUAGUUAGAACGAAAAGCUGAACUUGUGAAAUACAGAAGUAAACAUCUAAGAGCAUACCACGGAUCGUGUGUUAUCCCAGGAGAAGUAUGUCCUGAAGAAGCAAGGUUCAUUCCCUUCAUUGACUUUAUAGAGAGGCACAUCAGGAGAAAUACCUUCAAAGGCCACAGCAUGUUGUACGUAUUUCUGGGAGGGAAGCAAUCGUUUAUAGGAGUUGGACGAUAGUGAUCCAACCAAAAACAGAAAGGUUAACACUUAAACUUGGUACCUACCUGACCAAUGUCAAAUGCUUUCUGUUUUUCUUUUGUCUCCACACACUGACCCAUCCAAACAAAAACCUCACCGUGUGUAUCAAGUAUCAUCGUAUCUUCAGUCAACAAAUCAUCUUGUGAAAAAUUGAAAACUUCAGUAACCUGUGUACAAGUGAGCUUUCAGAAUUUUUUGAAAAAACAAGAUUAUUGGAACAUGACCAAUUUGGAUCAAAUCAAUACAGCAACACACCUCCAGCUUCCCUGACAAAUGGUGAUGAUGUUAUCGUGAUUGAAGCAAAAAAAAUGAUAAUUAAACGUUAGGGUCACUAUAAAGCAUAGAAAACAGAUUGAGAAACACUGUGAAUAGAAGGUUUGACUACUACUAACCAUUCCUAAGAGAGAAGGUAUACAAAUGAGGCUCUCUAAUAACAGCAUCAGGUGCAGCACUUUUACUUGUAUAACUCUGCUUUCCACCAAUAGAAGACCAGAAAAUAGAGCUCUCAGUGCCCUCCUUGCAAUGUUUGACAGCAACACCGGUCUGUAGGAUUAGGGGUACAGAUAAUUUAAGUGAGUAAUAGUGGCCACGGUAAGACAUGUCAAUUACUUGCAAUUUUAUCAGAAUCAAGUGCUGCUGGGGGAGGAGGAUUCAGCAAUCAGCGUAGUUCUGUCCAACCUCGUUGGAUCAUUAAUAAACCUUAAAUUAGACAGCAGUGAGAAAACACCAGUAUUUGUGCAUACAAUUAUUACCUUCCAGCAUGAUGAAUUUUUAUCAUAAAGAUCAUUCUGUUAGCAGCUUUCAACAAAAUCGUCUUUCAGAAUUGUUUUGCUCAAAACAGGUUUUCCAUAAGCUUUACAUAACACUCUAAUAGAUAAGCAGCACGAAACUGCAAAUAAACUUGAAAAAUAUGACGAGGUACUACCUCCAGCCCAAAAUUAAGGCAUUCAAACUUCAAAAAUGUUUUCAUUAUACAUUAAUCAUUUUGAUUGUCACAUGCAAUCAAGGUUCUAAAUAGCCCACUAUAGAUUUUCUAGGGUCUAUCACUACGAUAUUGUUAAUUGUUCCGCUAUCACUGCUAAAGAUGCUCUAGGUCUACUAUGUAAGACAUAAUCUGCAGCUAAACCUUUCUUGUUCUGUUAAUGAUCAUAGGCAGGCAAUAGGCUAGCCCUUGAUCACAUAGGAGUAUGGCAAUAGGCCACUCUAGUACAGUAGUUGGUAGAACCAUACAUCAGCCAUACUUGGUAGGAGGAUGAUGUAUGCAGUGUACUAGGAGUAGAUGGGGCUGUACCCAGCCAUGCCUUGUGUACCUUAUAGUUGGUACAAGGCUUGUAUAUAUAUACCAUGUAUGCAAUGAAGCAAAGGCAGUUCAAGUGCCACUUAUUUCCUGGGUUCAGGUUUCAGCCAAGACUGAAACCGUGUGUGUGAGUGUGUGCCUGAGCUCGGCUCAUCUUCUACCUUGGGUUAGGGGAGAGGAAGAGGGAAGGUGAGCAGGGUCUGCUUACCUGGUGCCUGUGUGCAGGUGCUAACAAUUGGUAUCAAAGCCGUACAAGCCGUGUGCUAGGUCCAUCGACCGGCGAUGGCGGACGGUGCGGCUCGGAACGGUGGAGGGGAGGGCUCAGAGCGUCAGCUCCAGCCGGCGCCACCGCAGGUGGAGGUGCGCGUGGUGAAGGAGUUCGGCGGCAGCAGCUCCUGGCCCAUGCUCACCCGCACCAACUACGGUGAGUGGGCGACACAGAUGAAGUGGAAGCUGCGCGCGCGGAAGUGGUGGCGGGCGAUUGAGGAAGAUGAUCGCACCGAGGACGCCCAGGUGGGAGUCAUGGAGGCGCUCAUGGCCUCGACGCCGGCGGAGUACCACGAGGCGCUGGGCGCCAAGGACACCGCGAAGCAGGCCUGGGAGAUGCUGGAGUCGCUGCGUGUCGGCUCGGACCGAGCCAAGCGGGCCAGGAUCCAGCAGCUCCGCAGGGAGCUCAACGACAUCAAGUUCAAGCCCGGAGAGUCGGUGGAAGAGUACACUCUCCGUCUUCAAUCUCUGGCCACGCAACUGGCCACCUACGGGAAGAAGGUGGACGACGAGGACCUCGUCACCAAGCUGCUGUGCACCGUCCCGGCCAAGUAUUCGCAGCUUGCCAUGUCCAUCGAGACGAUGUUGGACAUCUCCACAUUGUCUCUGGAGGACGUGGCUGGGCGGCUGCGAGUUGCAGAGAGCCGCAUCACGCCGGCACCGGAGAAGGAGAAGGCCAAGUUACUACUGACGGAAGAGGAGUGGACCGCGCGCAUGAAGGACAAGCGCCGGACCAGGGAAGGCUCCUCCAGCCGCGGCGGUGAUGGCGCCAAGGGGCGCGGGAAGCCGCCGGCGGACAAGAAGAAGAAGAAGAAGAACACCGACCCCAACGCCUGCAGGCGUUGCGGGAAGGUGGGGCACCGGGCACGAGAAUGCCCGGAGAAGAAGCCGGAGAAGAAGGAAGAGGCCCACCUAGCUCGGGACGACAGCGACGACGAGUGCGCUCUGUUGAUGGGGGAGUAUUGCGCGCUGCAGGAAGGCGAAGCAGGGAAGGCGGAGGCGGAGCAGGGGACUGCGCCGCAGGCCGUCGAGCUUGACGAGUCUCGCGCGCGCGUCCUCCUUGGAGCGGACGGUGAGGAGCUGGAGCAGAGAUGGUACCUCGACUCAGGUGCGAGCAACCACAUGACAGGGAGCCGCACCGCCUUCUCCAACCUCGACGAGUCAGCCACCGGAAGCGUGAAGUUCGGGGAUGGCUCAAAGGUGCAGAUUCGCGGCCGCGGCACCGUCCUCUUCCGGUGCCGGAACGGCGAGCACCGUGCCUUGACGGAUGUCUACUUCAUCCCUCAGCUGCGCACCAGCAUCGUCAGCCUGGGACAGUUGGACGAACGCGGCAGCGAGGUCCUGAUUCGCGACGGGGUGUUGCGGAUCAGGGACAGGGAGCGGCGUCUUCUCGCCAAGGUAUCGCGCUCCCGUAACCGACUCUAUCUUCUGGAUUUGAAGGUAGAGCAGCCCGUGUGUUUGGCGGCGUCGUGCAAGGAGGAGCCCUGGCUGUGGCAUGGCCGGUUCGGCCACCUCAGUUUCGACGCGCUGGGCCGUCUCGGGAAGAUGGUGACAGGGCUGCCGGCGAUCCAGCAUGUCAGCGAGCUGUGCGACAGUUGCCUGGCAGGGAAGCAGAGGAGGCGGCCGUUCCCGAAGACCGCCAGGUACCGCGCGGCGGAUCCGCUUGAGCUGGUCCAUGGGGACCUUUGCGGGCCGAUCACGCCGGCGACGCACGGCGGGAGGAGGUACUUCCUCUUGCUCGUGGAUGACUGCAGCCGGUACAUGUGGCUGCAGCUCCUGACGAGCAAGAGCGACGCGGCGGAGGCGAUCAAGCACUUCAAGGCACGCACGGAGAUGGAGUCCGGGAAGAAGCUGAAGGUGCUUCGGACUGACCGCGGCGGCGAGUUCACGGCGGCUGAAUUCACCACGUACUGCGCCGAGGAAGGAGUAGGGCGUCAUCUCACAGCCCCCUACUCACCGCAGCAGAACGGUGUGGUAGAGCGCCGGAACCAGACCAUCAUCGGCAUGGCGCGAUCUAUGCUGAAGGCGAAGGACAUGCCGGCUGAGUUCUGGGGAGAAGCCGUGAGCACAGCAGUGUUCAUCCUGAACCGUUGCCCCACCAAGGCGUUGAAGGGGCAGACUCCAUUCGAGGCUUGGCACGGACGCAAGCCGAACGUCGCGUUCCUACGCACGUUUGGUUGUGUCGGCCAUGUGAAGACCACCAAGCCAGGCCUUACAAAGCUGGAAGACAGGAGCACCAAGGCGGUGUUCCUCGGCUACGAGGAGGGAUCAAAGGCCUAUCGGCUCUACGAUCCGGUCGGCGGAAAGGUGCUGGUAUCUCGAGAUGUGGUGUUCGACGAGGCGGCGGCAUGGAAAUGGGACCAGGCGGAGGAGCAGGGAGGUGGUGGGCUUGGCGACACUUUUGUCGUGGAACAAAUGACGAUCCACGGCAGGGAAGAAGGGUCAGGAGGGCCAGCAACCGGGGAAGCCGGUGCCACUGCAGCUCCAGAGGUGGAGGAGCCACCAAGUCCAGCGACAGCUGGAACGCCAGUCCACUCCCCGGCGGCUGGGGUGGGAUCCCCUGCCUCGCCAGGGCCGGCAACGCCAGCGGCCGGAGACGUCGAAUUCGCCACACCACCAAGUGACUACACCGAGUUCGUGGAUGCUUACCACGACGGCGAGGAGAUCCGUUUUCGCCGAAUCGAGGGCAUCAUCGGGGAAGCAGAGGUGCCUGGGGUCGCAGCACGGCUGCUCGACGACGACCCUGAGCUUCUGCUGAUGAGCGCAGAAGAACCCUCAUCCUUUGCCGUGGCGGAACGCGACGCAAAUUGGCGGCGUGCCAUGCUGGAGGAGCUGCGGUCCAUCGAAGACAACCACACCUGGGAGCUGGUUGAUCCGCCGGCGGGAUGCCGGCCGAUUGGCCUCAAGUGGGUGUACAAGGUCAAGAAGGACGAAUACGGCGCGAUCGUCAAGCACAAGGCGCGGCUGGUGGCCCGUGGCUUUGUGCAGCGCGAAGGCAUCGACUUCGAGGAGGUGUUUGCGCCGGUGGCGCGCAUGGAGUCGGUGAGAUUGCUGCUGGCACUCGCAGCAGCCAAGGAUUGGGGCAUCCAUCACCUCGACGUCAAGUCGGCCUUCCUGAACGGCGAGCUGGCGGAAGAGGUUUACGUCAAGCAGGCGCCAGGCUUUCAGGUGAAGGGGGAAGAGCGCAAGGUGCUUCGGCUGCGGAAGGCGCUGUAUGGUCUGCGGCAGGCCCCGCGGGCAUGGAAUGCCAAACUCGACGCCACCAUGGCGGAGCUCGGCUUCGCACGGUGCGCCACGGAGCAUGCCCUGUACACACGACGACGGGGGAAGGAGGAGCUCAUCGUCGGUGUGUAUGUGGACGAUCUAAUCGUCACUGGCGCGCGGGAGGAAGACAUCGCCAAAUUCAAAGCGGAAAUGGCGACCCGAUUCAAGAUGAGCGAUCUGGGCGCGCUCUCGUACUACCUCGGCAUCGAGGUGAAGCAGGAGAAGGACACGGUCAGGCUGGGGCAGCGCGCCUACGCGCUGAAGCUGCUGGAGCGGGCUGGAAUGGGCGACUGCAGGGCUGCAGCAACACCGAUGGAGGAGCGGAUCAAGCUCUCCAAACAAAGUGUGGCGAAGAAGGUUGAUGCCACACGAUACCGAAGCAUCGUUGGUGGGCUGCGCUGGCUCACUCACACCCGGCCGGACAUCGCGUUCGCGGUCGGGUAUGUGAGCAGAUUCAUGGAGGAUCCAAGGGAGGACCACUGGGCGGCGGUCAAGCGACUGCUGCGGUACAUCCAGGGGUCUUUGGACCUCGGUGUCGUCUUCCCCAAGCACGGCGAUCUUCGGCUGAAGGUGUUCAGCGAAGCGCCGCCCAGGGCAAAGGGCGGUGAGCCAGGACUCACCGUGUUCAGUGAUGCAGACAUGGCGGGUGAUGUGGAUGGGCGGAAAAGCACCUCCGGGGUGUUCGUCUUCCUAGGAGCAGCGCCGGUAGCCUGGCAAUCACUGAAGCAGAAGACAGUGGCACUGUCAACCUGCGAGGCAGAAUAUGUGGCUGCUGCUACGGCGGCAUGUCAGGCGGUCUGGUUGCGGCGGCUGCUGAAGGAGCUCACUGGGAAGGAGUCUCAGCCGCCGGCUUUGCUGGUGGACAAUCAGCCGGCCAUUGCUCUUGCCAAGAACCCGGUGCUCCAUGACCGGAGCAAACACAUCGACGUGAAGUUCCAUUUCCUCAGGGAUUGCGUUGAUGGAGGACAGAUCACCAUCGAGUUUGUCGACACCGGCAGGCAACUCGCUGACAUUCUCACCAAGUCCCUCGGACGCCUCAGGUUUGUUGAGCUGAGGAAGAUGAUUGGCAUGGAUGAGGUCAAGGCUUAGCAGCAGGAUUAGGGGAAGAACUGUAAGACAUAAUCUGCAGCUAAACCUUUCUUGUUCUGUUAAUGAUCAUAGGCAGGCAAUAGGCUAGCCCUUGAUCACAUAGGAGUAUGGCAAUAGGCCACUCUAGUACAGUAGUUGGUAGAACCAUACAUCAGCCAUACUUGGUAGGAGGAUGAUGUAUGCAGUGUACUAGGAGUAGAUGGGGCUGUACCCAGCCAUGCCUUGUGUACCUUAUAGUUGGUACAAGGCUUGUAUAUAUAUACCAUGUAUGCAAUGAAGCAAAGGCAGUUCAAGUGCCACUUAUUUCCUGGGUUCAGGUUUCAGCCAAGACUGAAACCGUGUGUGUGAGUGUGUGCCUGAGCUCGGCUCAUCUUCUACCUUGGGUUAGGGGAGAGGAAGAGGGAAGGUGAGCAGGGUCUGCUUACCUGGUGCCUGUGUGCAGGUGCUAACAUACUAAACACCACUAUUUGUUUUAGCCAUGAAAUAUCUUUGGCAGCAUUAAUCCUGGUCGAGGCAGAAAUUCAUACCUUAGUCUAAAAGACUAUAAUAUGUGCCUCUCCAUUAGGUUAUUUACAUGAUACUGAUUUAAUAAAUCAUUGAACAACUGAUCCUUAAAUACUGAAUGAAUAUGAUGUUAGUCACAACCGUAAGUAUGUUAAUUGAUAUGGUCAAUGUUAAGUAAUAAAUGUGGAGGCAUGCUCUCCUAGAGCCUGUACAUGUAUUUAAUUAUUUAUGUUCAUAUAAUUUUGCUUUGCUAAAUGUUUCCGUGCAUAAUUGUAAUUAAUUAAAAAUUUCAUGUUUUCUAUAAAAUCGCUAAAUGAAAUAGAUUUCGCUAUAUUCUGCUAUAGCUUUUGAAGGAGCCCACCGCUAAAUAUCUUAGCCCACGAUUUAAAACAUUGCAUUCAAUCAAUAUAGAUAUGGUUAAUUACAUUCACAUUCAAAAUAUAUUGAUUUCACUGUAAUUUAAGAAUUUUUGGCAAUGCUACUUGAAGAAAUAUAGUCAGAGGUGUGACAAUAUCCUAAAUGACCAAGUAAAUAGGAAGAGAGUUGUUAUAAAAGUAGCUCAUUAGGAGAUAGCUAGGCAAAGUCGGAUUGGAGGGAGACUAGAGUAUUGGGGGAUCUGGGAUUAAUUCUUGUUCAUUGCUUUCUUUCCUUGAUACAUCUCCCUUUAUGUAGAGAGGAUUAUUGGUCCCCUAGGAAGGCUCAAUCAAAUCCUAACAAAUCAUAUCCAGUCCUGUUUCUAAUUGACCAAAAUCUAAUCAUAUCUCCAAUUGAUCCAAUCCCUCUAAUUAAUAUUAUGGGCCCCUGGCCCCCUAGCUGAUGCCCCAUAACAAGGUUAUCAUGCAUGAAAAGGAAUUAUCAAAAUUGGUUUCACUAUUCCAUACCUUCAGAAAUUCAGCAACUUUAGCAGCCCACUGUUGUUGUUCAAAAGAACUUGAAUUUCCAUUCCAUAAAAACAUCGAGUUUUUAGUUUGCAAAACAAAACAAUCCGUGGAACUCAAGGAUGUUGGGACCUAGAAAGUCAAAUAACAAUUAGUUCAAGGGAGCAAAAGGUUGGACUCUUUUAAGUUAUUUAAAGUGCAGGCCAUAAUGAGAACAUAGUGAUUCCAUCCAGCAUUUGUUCCAUACUUCAUUUCCCCAUAGCUUAGGAUUUUGAGCAAACCCAUAGAUGCAUAAGACUUGAUAUGCUAUAAGAGCAAAAGUUCUUGAGCUCGAGACUUAGUAAAAUCAACCUAACUUAUAAAAUUGCUAUGGCCCAUUUUUAAUAUGCGCCAUAGGUAAUGGAUGAUAGGCAUGACAGAUAUUGCUUAGGUAUUAUUGCCUACUUUUUCUCAUUAACUUAAGAUGUUCAUGAUGCUUAUGUGAAUGGAAGUCAAUAUAUUUCUAAGAACAGGUAGAGGUAAGAAAUACCGCAUCAACUUGAAGUGUUUUAUUGUUAUGAACUGCUGUUCCAGAAAUUCGAAUGAGAGCAACGCCAUCAGCACAAUAUGUUUCAUCUUUCAGACCCUUCUCUUCUACAAAUUUCUUAUAACCAGAACUAGUACCACCCUGCAUGAUUUGACAAAUACAUUCUGGUAAUUUCUGGAGUAAUGUUACAAAACAUUUUUCAUUUCUAUCGAAUGCUCCAAUAUGAGUUCUUUGUAGACCAGCACACAUUUAUCAUUAACUCACUAUACAUGACAUAAUCACAGUGAGCAUCAUACCUUAAGAAUAACCAUUGGUUGGAAAAGAGCAACAAAUUGUGGUGGCUCUUUUCCUUGAUAAAUACGACCCUACAAUAACACAAAUAAAAUACAGAACUCAUCCAUAGGAAAUAUUUGAUGCAUAAUAAAAAAAAUUCAAAAUAUGAAUACAGUACCAGGACAGGUCUUCCUUUCAAAGAAUUCCAAGUUGUAUUAGCUAUUUGAAAAACCGCCUCUUGAUCUUCCUAUGUAAAAUAAACAAAGAGUAACUUCAUAGAUAUAUCACAGCACAGUGCAUGGGCACUGAGUCCACCAUGAACCCUUGUAUAUGUUAAGUACAUCAAGGCUCAUAUAGUCAUAUAUUAAUUAUAGGACACACAAAUGUGUAAGGACCAUCAUUAUUUUAAACAAACGUGUGCAAUAAUAGCUUCUAUUUUGAUGUGAGAAGAAUUCAUGACAAACAGCUUUACAGAUAAGCUUAAUAAGAAGGUUUCAGUGUCACAAUUUGACCAUGACAAGCAAAAUAAGAAAUAUGCAUUCCAAUAAUGGGGGUCCAUGGAAGAUGCAAAGCAAGAAAGUUCAGUGCACUACAUCUUAUAAGCAUGUACAUAUUUAAAUGACAAUUACCUGUACACUAUUUUUCCCAAUCCAAUAAGUUAGAUAGAACUCUUCUUUUUUGUCAGCAGAAUGAUAAGUGUAGAGAACAACAUAACAGUCUCCACUGUAGAAUUUUCCAAGUUCUUCCUUUGGAAGAGCAGUCUUCACACUGCCAUUAACACACCAAACCUGAAAUAUGCACAGCUUGCUUGUGAUUUCAUUUCUACACUGCAUUCACUAUUGUACUUGGUAGGAAAAUGUGAAUAAGUUCAGCGAAACCUCAAGCUUUCCACCGCCAUCUAGCAAAGGAGGAACUUCGUCAUUUACUGGUGCACUAGUUUUUGUGAUUCCUUUGACAUCGACACCUUUCUGCUUCAACAUUGCUGAUAAAACAUAUAGAUGUUAACAGUGAAUGACAAAAGGUCAUUUGUUAAAAUACCAAUAAAUAAGUAUUGUACCUGUAACUUUCACUCGGCCUUCCUCUGUGCUGGCACUCCCUGCUGUGGUACUUACUGGCCAUGACUCAAACUUAGACUUAAAUGUAUGAUUCUCAUAACCUUGAAUAACUUGAGUUAUUCUUGCUGUCUUUGGUCUAUUUUCUUUAAUAAUGAAUUUCUACAGGAGGUAAAUUUUAGAUAGGAUAUAUUUUGAACAAGGCAACAAACAAUAAAGUUGGGCUGUAGUUUUACCUCAACUGCCGCACUGGCAGCUUUCCUCUCCUCUACCUGUGUUACCCGACCAACCCACACAAAUAGCUCAGCCCCACAGUCAAGUAAAAAGCAUUUGGUGUUCUCCAGAACUGAUUUUGUAAGUGCAGUGUCUUCUAACUUCAGUUGACCGUUAGUGAUACUGCAAACAUAACAAUUAACAGCAUACAAUAAAACUACUCGAUUAUUAAAAAAUAAAGAAGAGCAGCUGAAGAUUAGUGAGGUGAACAAUAUAGCACACAUACACAGGCCAGUCACACCUGAAGAUAAAGUAAUAGGCUUUGUGAACCAAGCAGAGUCUCGAAGUAUGCUGCGCAAUGGUAAAGUUCUACGACCUAUAAGCACUCUCAAACCAACUAACUAAUACGUACUGAAUUGCCGAAAAGAAUUCAUUUGUAAUCAGGAAAGGAACUUCUGUAGAAGUGAGCUGUGAAUUCAGCAGAACAUAUUGGAUUGCUAAUUUUGAUUCUAGCAUUAAAAAAUGUGUUUAUCAGAAAGUUGCAAGUGGUGACUGUCACCCAUGCAUAACUUUUAAAAAAAUCAGAAAAAUAUAAAUGUGUGAAUGCUUGAAUAGGUAUGGUGAGCCCACGUAAAAACCAGGCCACUCAUAGGUGUUAAGAACAAGUGUCGAUAAUUAAAAUCAGAAGAUCAAAUAUAACUAACUGUACACUCAUAAAAAGGACAUACCUGAAAAGCUUUGGUGCUGUAGUUUCAAGAACAACGUCAUCAUCACUUAUUGUUUUUUUCCCUAUUGGCGCAAAACCUCCAAAAAGGACCCAGAAUUCUCCCGAAUCUGAUUCUGCUUGCAGUUUCCCAUCAUCUAUUAUUAAGGCAAAAAAAAAGAUAUAAGUGUGUGUGAACUUGCUGACUUUUUUACAUGUAUGUAUGAAAUGAAAUUUGUAUCAUUCUCAUCUCACCAACAAUUGCAACAGCACACACUCCAUCAUGGUAUUUCUCCUUUAAAUGUUGGAUCACUUCCAACGCCUUGGCUCUUUCUUGAAUGUUGGAGUUUGCGCCGUUGAAUUGGUAUAUUUUAUUUUCAGUAUCCAAGAUAAAGACAUCAUCAUGGUUCAAUGAUGAACGAGCAAAGGGAACCUGAGUAAAGAAGUCAUCAUUAGGAUAUUGACUUAAAUAGUUCAUGAAACAUAUACUGUAGGAAGCAAGGAGGUGGAACACCAAUUAAUGCACCUCUUUAACUCUGAUAGCUCUCUUCCCUUUGCAAAUAUAUAGCCGUACUUCAAACUUGUCCACCUCUGGCUUUUUAAACCCAGAAGCAAAACCACCCUCCAUGGGUAUGAUGCAGGGUUUAAAAUAGGAAAGGAAUUUAUCAGACUCGUAGCACUGUGGUUCCCUGUGCUGUACCGCACGACCCCCAAGCAUGCUGUCAAGUUCAACCGUCUUAAUCGCGGCAGUUCCAGCUUCAUCCUGCGUAAAAACAACAGCAAUUUCGAGAAGUGGGCAUAUGAAAUGUCAUUUGUAGCAUAGAGAAAUCUAAGGUGGUGGUACAGAAAUUAAAAUCUACCUGGCUAGAAUCUUUCCCGAUCCAGAAAUGGAUGUCAAAGAUAUAAGCACCUCCUUUACAGGUGGUCUAAAAAAAGGGGGCAGAUGCAUUACUAAAAAUACAAUUUCUGUAGGGAAAUAGAAUGGUGCCUCUGGAAAAAGGAAGGGUUAAAAGCAUUUACCUGCAGAACUAUAUACGAAUCUCCACAGUAGAAUUUGCCAUAAUCUGAUUUUGGCAAAGCGACUGGCUUGAAAUCCUCGAUCCUCCAUAUUUCUGUUCCUCUGUGUUUAAGUUAAGGGGCGCAUACCCAACAUAAAGAGAAUACAGAAGCAUUGCGUUGAAUGAAAAAUAGCUAAAACACGCCCAGUAAGGAUACGGUUUAUGGCCAGCUCCUUGAAAUGCGGGCUCGAGCACCACUUUUGCAUUCGACAUUGUGCAGGGAUGGAUAUAUGUUACUUGGACACUACAGAGAGGCUCCCACCACCCGAUGGACAACAGUCAAUAGAACACUAGAAACUCAUGUGCUGCAUGCAAGAGUGCACCUAGAAGAAAAUGUAAACCAUUAGAGACAAGAGAAACCACCAGAAGUUUCAGAUAUAAACAGAAUGCAUACAAAGUAAUGUUUGCAAAGAAUAGAUUUGCUCUCAGUUUUACGUUAUCACGGAAACCAAAACGCAUGCCUGGCUGGUCUUUUUUUCCCUAUAUUUUUAUCACACAUCACAUCCAAAUUCAUCCCCGAUCGAGCACUCACGGAUGGAGCGCUAACGAUGGAUCGAUCGAUCCAACAAGCGAACACCGACCGCAGACAGACAGCUUAACUGAAGGCCGAUCUGAUCGCAUCGCAGUCACGUACGCAUCCACGGCAAGGGCAGAUCAAUUCAACCCGCGGGAUCGUUAGAUCCUGCUCCCUUCAUCUUUAAUUAUAAGUCAUUUUAAAAAAUUUGGAGACUCAAAAUAUUUUAAGUUUAACUAAAAUUAUAAAAAAAAUUAUAAAAUUUAUAAGAUUAAGUAAAUAUACUAUGAAAAAUAUAGUUAGAAUAUUUAAUUUGUAUCAUGUUAUCAUAUAAAUUUGGUUUACUCUUUGAGAUUUUUAGAAUAACUGGGAUCGAAACAAGCCUUGUUUAGUUCCCAAAAAAUUUUGCAAAAUUUUUCAGAUUCCCCAUCACAUCGAAUCUUUAAACUCAUGCAUGGAGUAUUAAAUAUAAACAAAAAUAAAAACUAAUUAGACAGUUUGAUCGAAAUUGACGAGACGAAUUUUUUGAGUCUAAUUAAUUCAUAAAUACAAACGAAAGUGCUACAGUGUCGAUUUUGCAAAAAUUUUUGGAACUAAACAAGGCCCAAAGGGAGGGAGGAAAGGGAAAAAGGAAAUGCAGAACCGUGGGAUCAUAUGAGGAGGCCGUCGAUCGAGCGGGUACCUGCUAGACGUGUAACGCCGGUCGCCGAUCGAUCGAUGGAAGCGGAGCGGAGCGGGGGGUGUAGCCUCGAGCCAGAGAGGGGAGGAAGGUGGCAGGCGAGCGGCGACGGGAAGGGGACGAGACGACCGAUCGAUCCCAGUGUGUCUCCGAGGCGACGUAGGAAUGGGGCGGAUUCGAUGGGGGUGGUGGAAGUGGAAUGGAUGGAUGUUACUACUACGCGACGCCGCGGCUUUUGCGGUUGCCUGAUUUUAGAAAUGGACCCCCUAUUUAUACGGGCGCGCGCGCGGCGAUCUGCCUGCGCCCUAUACGUGCGGUGCGGCAGCGACGGGGGAGGGACGGAUGGUCGGUGGCUGCUAGGAAAAGGUGCGAUCGAGCUCGGAGUACGAGAGGGGACAACGGAGAACGGACGUCGUUGCUACUGGCUGCCUGCGGCGUUCGUCACCACGAGUGUCCGGCCAGGGCCGCGCUACUGCUACUGCUAGUGGUAGUGGCAUUAGCAUUGCUCGCCCGGCCAGCAGAGGUACGGUACGGCCGCCGGUGACUGACAAGAUUCGGUCUCGUAGCGAGCGCCGUAUGGUAGGUACGGUGGUGAGCUAGGCCGGCCAUCAGCAUCAGGGUCCAGCUGCGGUCCGCAUGAUGCGGCCGAUAAUUGCGAGCUUUCGGUCGAGAUGCAUGGGAAGCUGCAGUGAUCGUGGAUGUGAUGCACACAGCGCACACGCACUCAUCAUUUCGACAGCUACGGUAACAACGUACGGGUUCACGCACGGGGGGCGCCACCUGACCUGACGCUUCCCCACCACCGCCCAUCAGCCCAUCCAACUAGACUGUGAACAUGGGCUGUCCUACCCGGCCAGGCCCAAUCAGUGUACCAGGUAGGCUUGGGCUCUAAAUCAUAAACAAAUAGAAAAAAGAUUUGAUGUGACAGGAAAUUUUGAAAAGUUUUUUAUUUUUGGGGUGAACUAAGGUCUUAUUUAGAUGCGAAAAUAUUUUCGAUUUCGCUACUAUAGCACUUUCGUUUGUUUGUGGCAAAUAUUGUCUAAUCAUGGACUAACUAGGAUCAAAAGAUUCAUCUCGCGAUUUACAGUUAAACUGUGUAAUUAGUUUUUAUUUUUGUCUAUAUUUAAUGCUUCAUGCAUGUAUCGAAAGAUUAGGUGUGACAGAGAAUUUUAAAAACUUUUUAGUUUUUGAGGUGAACUAAAUAAGGCCUAAACAAGACCUAAUUUUGUAUAAUAAAAUGUAAAAUGAACCUCUUUAUUGUGUUCCUCUCCUCGGAAUAGUAAAAGAAUAGACAUAUAUGGAGUGUUUCAUUUGAAGUCCAGACGAAGGAGUUACGCUUUUCAAAAAAAGUUGCAACCGAAGUUGUGAUCCUUAUCGGACGUUACGAGAGUCUGAAGUUUCGACACACGUUAGAACUUUCGACGAACGUCAAGAAACCUGGGGAAAAAAACCCUGCUCAGGUGUCUAGGGUCGGAAAAACCUAAUAAAAAACUUUGUUUGGAAAUGAUCUUUUAGUGCUGCAUAUUUGAUUUUUCCCAAACUAAAUUAGGACUCGACAAAGGAAAACUAUCUAAUGCACAGAGCUAGCACGAUCGUUUCAGCAUUUCAACUGCUCCAAGCCUCCAACUCAUAAACACACUUCCAAGUACGAAACAGACUGAGGAAAUUCCAAAAUCGGUUGUUAAUUAACUCCUUGGCCGGCCUCAUCCAAAUGGAAGAAGGUUUAAAGUCCUGAUGCCCCCGAUAAUCUCAUCAACUGCGUUCGGCAGGCGGUCCAAAUCGCCGCCGCUCCGCUCCAUCAUCCACGCGCGAAUUAUCUAUCCCUUCCCGAUUAAUUAAUCUCCGUGCCGCGAUCGUCACGGAUUCCUUCUUCCUCGUUCCAAUUCCAACUGAGCCGGUCAGCAGCUGCAGCUGCAGAGUGAGAGUGAUCGGCUACUUGUACGCGUGCGCGAGCAUCACCGUGCAGGUAGCAACCGGGGUGGACUGAGCGCGGUCCCCAACACGGCAACACGGGCCACAAUUCAGCCAUGAGGCUCUCGCCGCCGCGGCGCCUCCUCCCCCUGGCCCCCUUCCUCCUGCUGCUGCUCACGCUCCUCUCGCCGCCUCGAGCGGCGGCAGCAGCGGGCGGCGGCCCAUCCGCGUGGGUGGCGCUCCGCGGGGCGGCGGGCAGCCGGAAGGCGUCUCCGGCGGAGCAGGAAGCGGCGGCCGCGGGGCUGCUCCGCCGGCUGCUCCCUUCCCACGCGGGCAGCUUCAGCUUCCAGAUCGACUCCAAGGUUUGAGCAUCCUAGUGCGGCUACUUCCUGAGUUCCUGGUUCCUCCCAGUCCCCGGUCCCCCGCUUGUUUCGGGGCAGCAUUGGUUGACUUCCCUGUGCCCGUUUUUCUGUGCUCGCUCCAGGGCGCCGUCUGCGGUCAAUCAAGCUGCUUCAGGAUAAGCAACGUCGUUGACGGCUCGGGCAAAGGUGGAGCGGAGAUUCUGUAUGUUCCUCUUUUUCCCUCGUAUACUUGCCAUGAUGCAUGAUGCCGUCAACUUUGGCCGCGUAGAUGAUCCAUCUGAGGUCUGAGGCUGUGCUUUGUGGCUUGCCUCACCACUGUAUGGUGGGUGCCCAGCUGGCAUCGAUUCAUGAGGUUUUGAUUUGCAUAAUAGACAAACAUGGUGAUGAAGUCGCUCAUUCCUGUUCUAAAUUUUGCUCUUUGUAUGAUCGCUCCUCAUUAAGUUGGCGCAUUAGUUUGCUUAUAUAAAAUCCAAAAAAUAGUCCAGCGGCUUGGGUUCCUUAAUUGAGCAUUGAGAAUGCAUGUAAUGCAAGAACUGCAAAAAUUGUACAUUUGUUAUGACUACAUCGUGAAGGUGAAUGCAAUCACCUCUUCAUGUUUAUGCUAUACAGGAUCCAGGGAACCACAGGUGUUGAGCUUGCGUCUGGCCUACAUUGGUAUUUGAAAUACUGGUGUGGUGCACAUAUCUCCUGGGACAGGACUGGGGGUGCCCAGCUGGCAUCGAUCCCUUCUCCUGGAUCUCUGCCACGGGUGCAGGGCAAGGGAGUCAAGAUUGAGCGUCCUGUUCUGUGGAAUUACUAUCAGAAUGUCGUCACUUCUAGCUGUGAGUCCUUUCUUGCCUCUAGUGCUUCUAUUGCAAAUGAAGAACUGAUGUUUCAGCAUUUGUUCUCCUACACCCUAAUCCUACAGAUUUCAUCUUAUCAUUUUUGUCUCUGUUGACCGGACCCUUCCAUACUUCUAACAUUUAUCCAACUGGAUUUAUUUAUAAUUUCUAAUUUCAAAAGAAGUGACUCUGAAGCUUCCCACUAUUUAAGUGGAUUCCAACAUUUUUUUCUCUGACAAAAUUCAUGUAGCGUUCUAUAGACUCCUAUGUGUGGUGGGACUGGAAAAGAUGGGAGAAAGAAAUUGACUGGAUGGCACUUCAAGGAAUUAACUUGCCUUUAGCAUUUACUGGACAGGAAUCUAUCUGGCAGAAGGUUUUUAAGGUAGUGUGACAGACACAUCUACUGCAUAUUCCUGUUCUUUGUUUUUUCUUGUCCCUACGUCUUUUUGAUCUGCCUUGUUUAGUUUCCAAAAAAAUUUGCAAAAUUUUUCAGAUUCCCCGUCACAUCGAAUCUUGCGGCACAUGCAUGGAGCAUUAAAUAUAGAUUAAAAAAAUAACUAAUUGCACAGUUUGUCUAUAAUUUGCGAGACAAAUCUUUUGAGCUUAGUUAGUCUAUGAUUGGACAAUAUUUGUCAAAUACAAACGAAAAUGCUGCAGUGUCUAUUUUGCUACAUGUUUUGAGUUUCUUUUCAACCUCCUGUUGCUAUGGGGGCCUUGUUAAUUAUUGCAUUUUAUUUCAGAGUUUUAAUGUUACCGACAGAGAUUUAGAUGAUUUUUUCGGUGGACCAGCUUUCCUGGCUUGGGCUAGAAUGGGGAACUUGCAUGGGUAAGUAAACAGUUCUUCUACGUGUUCAGGAAAAAAAACUAUAAAAUAAAUGAGGCUACAUUCUCUGAUAUAGGUGUUUGUUUAUUAGUUCAGAUAGCAUGAUGAAUAGCUUAUUCUUAAAAAAUAAGGAGCCAUAUUCUUGUUUAGAAGUGUCGAAGAUGUAUCUUUAGUAGGUGUUCACGGUUUGGGAUUUUGGUUCAGUGGAACUCUGCAUUUUGCUGCAUUGAAUACAGAUUAUUAAAAGUUUCUCUUCCUGCUUGUUUCUCUCUGCAUAUCAUUGUUCCCAUUUCAUGUGACCAAAGAUUCAUUCUAACUUAAUUAUAGCAUUGACCACAACAUUGCAGUUGUUCUAUACUUAACUAGUUAACUUUGUAUGAUAUUAAGACUUUUCGGAGAUGAUCAUUUGUACAUAUCUGACAUAUAAAAAGUAACGCAUAUAUAAUUCUUCAAUUUCUUUAGCUGGGGUGGACCACUGUCACAAAACUGGUUGGAUCAACAAUUGGCAUUGCAGAAGAAAGUACUAUCCCGGAUGAUUGAGCUUGGGAUGGUCCCUGGUACGUUUGUGUUUUAUUGUCCAAAAUUACUAUUCUUCAACCUUUAAGAUAUGCCAUUGCAUUUAUACCACCUUUCCAUCCUUUUUUGGCAAUGUAUUUCUUAUAUGAAGUCAAAAGAUCAAUGGACUUUUUACUAGCAAUAUUCUAUUACUACAGUGGGUUAAAUGCUGUUUCAAGUUAUACUUAUGACGCACUACUACUUUACAGUUCUUCCAUCGUUCUCAGGAAAUGUUCCAGCUGUUUUCGCAAAAUUAUUUCCAUCAGCCAACAUUACCCUGCUUGGUGAUUGGUAACAUACUUUCUUAUAUCGUUUGUACCAAUAUUUUCUGAAAAUUUAUGCUGGCUUAGGCAGUAGUUAUGGUGACCAAGAAGUCACCAAGUCCAAAUUUACUGGUGAUCAUAUUCAUAAUGCCUCUUGACAAGUAACUUCUGUAAAUUACUUGGACUGUAGGACAUCUGGAAGAGUGUAAUGGACAAGAAGGAUUCAGACUCACUUAGUUACAAACAUUUUAUAGUUGGGUUAACACUAUAUAGGGCUACUGGCACGGUUGCCAGCCAACAACUUAUUUGUAAGGGACAAUAUAUGCAUACAUGAUCUUAUAGCUUUACACGAUAUGUUUUUAUAUCCUCAGUUUUCAAGAAAAAGAAACUGCAGUUUUGACUCAACUUCUUCGCACUAGACUGUAGAACUAGAAGUCUUAAGUCAAAAUUUGCUACAGGACACGUAACCUGAUGCCGAGCUGCCUGCGGACACAAAAAAGUGCUACAUGCUGACAGUCACUCUGUCAAUGCGAGAAUUUGCUAGAAGACACCGUGUCCAUUAAAAUAAUCAUUUCCAACCUAGAGGAGACGGUGUCUUCCAGCAAAUUAUCACAUUGCCAGAGUGACUGACAGCAUUUAUCACUUUUUUUUAUGUCUGCAGGCUGCUUGACAUCAGUCUAUGUGUCCUGUAGCAAAUUUUUGCCAAGUCUUAAACGUAUCAAGUCUGUGUACUGCCAGUGCUUAUGUGCCUUAUUUCAACAUGAAAGUAUCAGUUGAUUAGCAUUUCAUGUUUUCAGUUAUAAAACUUCUUACUGAAAAUAUCUUAUGUUGUUUUGAUUUUCUACGUGAUAUUUUAUACUUCAGGAAUACAGUUGAUGCUAAUCCUAAGUGGUGCUGCACUUAUCUUCUUGAUCCUUCUGAUUCAUUGUUUAUAGAUGUGGGGCAGGCUUUUAUCAGGCAACAGAUAAAAGGUAUAUACCUGCCAUUUUUGUGUGCAAGAUAUGAUCAUAGGAAACUUGAAUUUGUUCUGAAGUUUCUGGAUCAAAUAAAUCAAUUAAUAAGAAUGCACUUUUGAUUUAUGUUUUUGUAUAAGGUUUCGUAUUCUUUCUUUUUUGAACUUUUCUGGAUGUUUGCAGAGUACGGCGAUGUAACCAACAUCUAUAACUGGUAAGGCCUACUAAUCUGCUUCUUUGAAAUGUUGCCUGAAUGCAUUCUGUGAUUGCUCUGUGUAUCCUUUGCAUGUUGGGUCACAACGCUUAGCUGUCAUAUGCAAGGAUCACAAUUGAUUGGUUCUGUUUCUAUAAGCCAUACCCUAGUUCAUCCUUGCCUAUAUAUGUGUAACCUUUCACCCUCCAUAAUCAAUCAAUCAAUUCCGUACCAUAUUCUUGCUUACAGAUACAUAUCGUCCUGUUUAAGGUAUUGAUAGUGGAUAGUUCAAAAUUCUUGAUUUAUUGGUCAUGCAUUAUGUCAUUCUGAUCAUGUCAUUGGCUAGUGGUUUAGCAUGCUUUUGAGCAUCCUGUGUAUAUUCUUGUGCUCGCUUGCUGUUUCUAGUUUCUACAUCAUGUACACAUUGCACAUUUUACAGUUUUGGUUGUUACUUUCAGUGACACGUUCAAUGAGAAUACCCCACCAACAGAUGAACCAGCAUAUAUUUCAUCACUUGGUUCUGCUAUCUAUGAAGCAAUGUCCCGAGGUAACAAGAAUGCAGUGUGGUUAAUGCAGGUGUGCUCACUCUUCUUUUACCUUUUAAAUGUAAAAACAUUCUGCAUUUAUCAUUUUCUGUUGUGAUAGCAACCAUAUAUCCUCUAGACGAUAGUAACUUGUCCAGUUAACAAGAUGGAGUGCAGAGUACAAUGUAAAGAAAUACACCAUACAAUCUAUUAUUUAUAGUGGUUCAUUCCAUGUUCUUUUUUUUAAAAAAAAAAGAAAGUUAUGUAUUAAAUCUUACUCUUUGGAUAGAGAAAAAUCUUGUGUUUUCUUUAUCAGACAUCAUUAGAUGAACACAUAAUUGGAAAUCUUUGAACUUUACUUUGUGCUUAUUGAUGCAGGGUUGGUUAUUCUACUCAGAUGCUGCAUUCUGGAAGGAGCCACAAAUGAAAGUAAGCUCAAGUCUUGUCUUCAAUGAGUUUCACUUUGAACAGCCAAAUAAAUGUGAUAACUCAUAGAAUGAAGGUUAAUGCAUAUGUUCUUUGUCCUUUUAACACCUAUUUACAAAUGGGUUAACCUGCCCAAUUUUCAGGCACUUCUUCACUCUGUUCCAAUUGGUAAGAUGAUAGUUCUCGAUUUAUUUGCUGAUGUCAAGCCCAUUUGGAAAAUGUCCUCUCAGUUCUACGGUGUACCUUACAUCUGGUAUGUCAUCUUUUAACAACCCCUCCCUCCCAUCUUGUAACUCCAAACCAUUAUUUUGUAUUCACAUUGUCAAUUUAAAAUAUGAAUAUAAUUCCUGAUUUUCAACCAUAUUUACUGAUUGAUUUACUCAAUCUAGGUGCAUGUUACACAACUUUGGUGGGAACAUUGAAAUGUAUGGCGUACUUGAUUCAAUUUCAUCUGGCCCCAUUGAUGCCCGUACAAGUUACAAUUCAACAAUGGUAAGUGCAAAUUUUGUCCUAUGGAGCAAACAUUUCAUUUUCAUGUGUGAGUUGAAAAUCUGUCAUCUGCUGUUUCAAUGUUGAAGUGAAUCAAUCCCUCCUUUCUUGCUGGAGUUCUGUGCUCCAGUGGUGGAGCUUUUUUUUUUUUGAAAACCACAGGAGAGCUGCGUUUCAUUGCAUUAUAGAGAAGAAAAAUAGGGUGGGUCCCCAACAAGAUCCUCACUCAUACGGGGACCAAAUAUGAGUGAGGCAAUUACACACACACCUUUACUGGGCUCAUAGAAAUCAGCUGAAGCUAGACCCUAACUAAGCAGCCCUAGUCACCCAACGCCAAACCAAGCUCAAGGAGCUUCUUUGCCCCAGCCAUGCACCAGAGACUAUGCUCAUUCUUUAGCUCACUCCAAAGCAUGCUCAGCGAAGGAGAAACCCCCUCAAAGACACAUGUGUUUCUAUGUUUCCAAAUAAUCCAGGCCCCUAAAAUAAUUAGAGAAUUCACUCCUCUCCUGUGUUCCUUGCUCACUCUGCUGAUCGUCUUGCGCCACCAUUCAGCAAAACUCCGCUCGUUUUGCCGGGGAGUUGAAUCAGCUAAGUUUAAUGGGGUGAGUAAUUUGCACCAUACUUGUCUUGCCAUCACACAAGAUGUUAGCAAAUGUUGUAUUGUCUCCUCUUCCUGAUCGCAUAGGGGGCAUUUAUCCGGAUGUGAAAGACCCCUCUUAGCAAGCCUAUCGGCUGUCCAACAUCUAUUACGGAUCGCCAGCCACAAGAACAUUUUGCAUUUGCUUGGAGCCCAAGACUUCCAUAGGCGGUGCCACGGCUCAAAAGUCGCUGCACCAUAGAAAAAAGCUUUAUAUGCAGAUUUGGAAGAGUAGCAGCCACUUGUAUCUAGCCUCCAUAUGUGGCGAUCCUCUUGGUCAGUCAGAGUGAUACUCAUGAGACAAUCACAAAGCUGUAGGAAUUCUCUCAUACCGAUCCAGGAUAGGCCGCCAUGAAUGUCUCGUGCCCAUUGCACGUUAGAGAGAGCUUCAGCCACAGUACGUCUUUUGCGAAUUCUUGGCGAGACACAAGCAAAAACAGUUGGUGCAAGAUUUUCAAUCGAGCACCCAUGCAGCCACCGAUCGGUCCAAAAGAGAGUAUUUUGUCCAUUCCCUAUCUCUGUCGUGACUGCAAUAGAGGACAAAGCUAUAGAAUUAGGAUGUGUUGGGAGUUCGAGAUCAGACCAUGGACGGUCAGCUUUAGUCUUUUUCAGCCACUGCCAUCUGACUUGCAAAGCCCAGGCCAUCACUUCUAAGUUAGGGAUGCCCAAUCCCCCAAGAUCCAACGGUCGCAUGACCUUCUCCCAAGCCACCAGACAGCAGCCUCCAUUUGCUUUUUCCUUUCCUUGCCACAGAAAUCCCCUUCUGAUCUUGUCCACUGCCUUGAUGAACCAUGACGGGAUGUUGAUAGCAAUUAGCAAAUGAAUAGGCAUGGCAGAGAGGACAAAUCGGACUAAUGUUGCACGUCUAGCCCUAUUCAUAAGGGCUGCCUUCCAGCAUGGAAGUUUGUCCGCAAUUUUUUCUAUCCAUGGCAUGAGAUCCCUCUUGCGAAGCUUCCUGUUUGAUAGUGGUAGGCCCAAAUACUUGCAAGGGAAUUCUGAAAUUGUACCCGGAAGAAUAUCUUGAAUUACUCCCAAAGACCCUUCUGUACAACUGAUGGGAAUGAUAUUGCUUUUCUGAAUAUUAGUUCGCAAUCCUGAAGCAUCUCCAAACACCUUGAGGAUAUCUCUGGUGAUCUGCAGCUCCCCUUCAAGUGGCUUAAUAAAUAAGGCAACAUCAUCAGCAUAUAGGGAAAGCCUUUGUCCUGUCACCCGUGGGGAUAAAGGUUGCAACAGCCCCUCAUUCGCUGCCUUCACAAACAGACUGUUAAGCACAUCCAUCACUAAAAUAAAGAGCAUCGGGGAUAAAGGGUCCCCUUGACGAAGGCCUCGUUGAUGUUGUAUGGGUUCUCCAGGUUCCCCGUUCAAUAAAAUUCGAGUUGAGGAUGAUGCCAGCAGAUUGGCCACCAAAUUGCGCCAAAUGCAUCCAAAGCCCAAGUGUUGUAGCACUUCUAAAACAGUGGUGGAGCUAAAGCCAGGCUAAAGGGGGCCAUGAGCCCAUGACCCCUCUUGAUUCUUUAAAUUUCUUAAGAAAACACCUUAUCCUAGGUAACAACAGAGCAUGGUUUACAUAGCUUGGCCUCCUGUACAUCUACCAUCAUGCUCCAUCGCUGCUGUGCUUGUUGUUCUUCUUGAUUGAUCGUUCCAUCUUUCAUGAUAUGCAUGUGUUUCAGAACUGAUAUAUUUUCAGUGCUGUAUCUAAUCUGACUAUUUAUGCAAUGUUUGACUCUUGCUCUUCUCUAGAUUGGUGUUGGCAUGUGCAUGGAGGGAAUAGAGCACAAUCCAGUUGUUUAUGAACUUAUGUCUGAAAUGGCAUUUCAUAAUAAGAAGGUUGAAGUUGAGGUAAAUAGUACAAAUGUAAACUUAGCCUUCGAAUUAUGAUUUACUGCUAUUCUUAUUUCUUCAUCUUGGAACUAUUACAGCUGUAUAGACUCUAUAGAGUAUGAGGUGCCAUUGUAGACAUAGUUUGCACUUUAUACAUAAUUAUAGGGUACAUUCUGUUUAUGCACCACUACAUAAAUUUUAUCAAUCUAGUCAAAAGAUAACUGCUUCUGAAAGUUCUUUCCCUUCAUGUGAUUUCAGUGAGAUCAGGAUUAAUGGAAGUUUUCUGUCUUGAGUUAAAUGUUGAACUGUGUGUCAAAGAAGGAUUGCCAAAAAUACCGUACUUUGUAAUUUGUGUAGUUUCUUGGUACAUAUGCUUUGUACGACCUUGUUUACAUGAGGUGAAUGAAGUACAAACUGUGCUACAGAUAGUAUUUGUCUCUUUCCUUCCGCAGCAGAUUUGCUAUGGCUAUUGUUUUAUAAUCGUCUAACAUCUUGACUGCAGGUUUUGCUUUGAUAGUCGAUUACCAUCUAACAUUUGUCCAUAACCUUCCAGGACUGGUUAAAAACAUACUCCUAUAGGAGAUAUGGUCGAGCGAAUGCUGAAAUAGAGAAAGCUUGGAGAUAUUUGUAUCAUACAAUAUACAAUUGCACCGAUGGAAUUGCGGUGUGAUUUCAAACGAGCUCCUCUGUUGCAACUAUCCAGAGCCUGUCCCGAGUAACAUAUCCUUAUAUUUUCGUUGCAGGAUCAUAAUAAAGACUACAUAGUUGAAUUUCCAGACAUAAGUCCCAGCUCAAUUAGUUCUCAGCUUUCUAAACGAAGGGGUAUGUCAAUUAUGAGAAACCAUAGGAGGUUUUUCUUAAGUGAGGUGUCUGGAAGCCUACCACAUCCGCACCUAUGGUAUUCUACGAAGGAGGCCAUCAAAGCCCUUGAACUAUUUCUUGAUGCAGGAAGCACAUUUUCAAAAAGUCUCACAUAUAGGUACAAUAUGCAACUUUCUUUUAAGUCUUGAGAUUGUCUGUUCUUAUUUUCAGCUAUUGCCAACUCUAUUCCUGUAGUUUACAGUUGUCAAUUGAUUUAAGUGCCAAAUCAGGGUACCAAAUGAACACUUUUUUCCUUUGUUUUCUGGUUUAAUGAGUAAAACUAAUUAUGCUGCUUGGGCAUGUUAUUGCUUUAACUGAUCCUUACUGCUGGGUGAUAACUUUUACCUCAGGUAUGACCUUGUCGACCUAACUAGGCAGUGCCUAUCCAAACUAGCAAAUGAAGUGUACCUUGAUGCGAUGAGUUCGUACCAAAAGAAAGAUUCAAAUGGCCUGAAUUCUCACACGAGGAAAUUUCUUGAGAUCAUCAUGGAUAUUGAUACACUACUAGCUGCUGAUGAUAACUUUCUGCUGGGCCCCUGGCUGGAAAGUGCAAAAAGCCUUGCUAUAACUGAAAAGGAACGCCAGCAGGUAUGUUACACAUGCAUUCUUCAUCUAAUAUCUGGAUCCUAUAUCAAUCCUGUUAUUGAGGACUGAAUUGAACCUUUUUACCAGUAUGAGUGGAACGCCAGAACACAGGUGACGAUGUGGUAUGACAACACAGAGACCGAGCAGAGUAAAUUGCAUGACUACGGUAAUGCCUAGUACAAUAGUUUGUUAGUUGAUAGCUACUAGCUGUAUGGUUCAGCUUUGUGUUACUAAUGUUCUUCUCCGUAAACACCAAAUUACCAGCCAAUAAGUUUUGGAGCGGGCUACUGAAGAGCUAUUACCUUCCAAGGGCGUCAAAAUACUUCGCCUACUUAACAAGGAGCCUGCAAGAGAACCAGAGCUUCCAGCUGGAGGAGUGGAGGAAGGAUUGGAUCUCAUAUUCCAACGAGUGGCAGUCCGGGAAGGAGGUGUAUGCCGUGAAGGCCACGGGUGAUGCUUUGGCCAUCGCCAGGUCACUGUACAGAAAAUACUUGAGUUCUUGAGCUAGUCGUCGCUGCCAGAGUGCCAGAGCCUUGGAAUAAUUGUUGCCGUGGGGUAAUUGUGCACGGAUGUUACAAAUGAUUGAUUGUGUAAUUGUGUUCUUCAGUAAGUUGCCUGUUAAAACAGAUGCCACGAAAGGCAGAUGCAUAUGUUAGCAAGUUGUAGGGUUGAUAUGUGAAAUAUUUGUCUUCCAUGAUCACGUGAUGUAGAGCGAAACCCUCAGCAUUGAUUUCUUGAGCUGUUGCUGCUGCGGUGCUGCCUCGGAGCUGAAGGCCAAGUAAAACAGUGUGCCUUUUGCAUUGCAGUUGGCAAAUUUUGAGACUUGCACUGCAGACUGCAGACUGCAGGCGUACUCCGCAGAGAGGUUUAGGAUGCAGAAACCGCUGAAAUAUGAACAUCGCUCACAAGGUUCUGGGACUCGGCUUUACUUUCUUUGAAACGUAUAGUUUUUUUUAAGGUCCCGUUUGGUCCUCUUGCUAAAUUUAGCCAACUAAAAUUAUUUUAGUUACUCUUGGAUGACUAAUAGAUCUAAAAUAUUUAAGCUCUUUUUUAGUCAGUGUUUUUAGAAUUUUAGCUGGUAAAGUGAUUAAAAUUUAGUUGGCUAAAAUUUAGCAAAGGGAACUAAAUAGACGCUUAAUGUAACUCAACUUUACUAGGGAAAAAAAGAUCAAAACUACUGUGAACUUUCUGCAAAUCAAGUAGCAAGAAUCACCAUGACUCAACAAUAAUACACAUCGCAGAUUCACGUACAGUUAAAGAUGAAUGAAGAAGCAACCUAAGAAGCAAAAAGUCUUGCUCUAUGAAUGGUAAAAACGAGCAGGAGAUCUGCCUCUUUUAAAUUGAGAACAUUAUUGAGCAAAAUAACAGCUGUCAACAGGAAUAUUUUGCUCAAAUUUGCUUCAAAUGCAGCAUACAAAUAAGAAAAAGAGAAACUUCCCUGAUGUAUUAAUGGAAGAAACGAGCGAGAAAUAUGCCCCUUCUAAUGUUGAGCAAAAAAAACAGCUGUAGGUAGGAUCAUUUUACUCAAAUUUCCUUCAAAUGCAGCACAGCAAAAAAAAACUUGUUGCAAAAAAAAAAAAGAGCCUGUCAGACAACCCAUGGGCCACCCCAGCUAGGCAGGACCCAACCAGGAACGAUCCUCUACAGCACCAGACCCAGCAUCAAGCUUAAUCCUGGCCGUUAAUCACGCUCUGGCCCACAGGUCAUGACUCAUCAACCAGGCUUAAGUGCUUGCCUCCUUAUUAGUCAAGGAUGCAGCGGUACGAUCCUAUAGAACAGAUCCUGUUCAAGUAAGGUCGUGCUGCAAGGCUCCAGAGCUGAGGUUUUAAGCUGGCUCUCACUCGCCUGAGCAAGCGAGGUGGUGCUAAUCGGUGGGACUGGGCGACUGGCCAGCAAUCCCACUCCCACCCAGCAUGUUGCGUACUGGGCCGCUCCAUUCUGGUAUAUGCUCCCCUAUGUGUGGGCUUCAGGUCGAGCCGGCCCAUCGAGGCUGCAUUAGCUUUACCUCUGUUGAUGAUGCUGAUUCCUCACCUAAGCUCAGCUGAUUCCUAGUAGGUGAUUAUAGUUGGCCCUCCACAGAGCUAAGCAUAAAAAUGUUACUACUAACCAUCACAAAUCGGUGUAAACACAACAGUAUGAAGUACGUCAUAAUGAGCUAAGCAGCAAUGGGCGAUGUUGUGCGAGUGCGUCGUCGUCUCUCAUCUAAAAUCGAUUGCCUUGUACUACACCGUCGACUGGCCUGGAGAGAUCGGCGUCCAGCAGGAGCAUAGCCAAGGCUGGCUCCAUUUCUGACGACCAUCGGCACCAUGGGCUCGGCAAGCUCCGAGCAGGAGCUGCCUAGCUAUUAGCAUCUCGACAACCGCGCGCGGGCGUGCCGGGCUUCUCGUCAGGCUUUUCUUGGACGCAGAGGAGGCCGACCACAAUUGAGUUCUUAAAGGCCUUGUUUAGUUGGUGAAAAUCUUUUAUUGUAAUAAUUUUAUUUGUAUUUGAUAAUUAUUAUCUAAUUAUAGACUAACUAUGUUUAAAAGAUUCGUCUUAUAAAUUACACAAACGGUAGAAUUAGUUAUUUUUUAUCUAUAUUUAAUGCUCUAUAUAUGUGUCCAA
rnacentral:lncRNA from 1 species